rnacentral:lncRNA from 1 species
GUUAUUAGAGAUGAUGGAGGUUAAAAGGAUGCUGCUUAACAAAGAUAAAAGCUCACUUAGACUAGUAAUCUUUUUUUCUUUUUAAAGAAACAUAGGAUUACAGAAAUAUUUAAUGAAUUAAUAAGGUACUUCUCAACACAUUUUUUUCAUUGCCAACUAGUUUUUCCAGGUUAUGUACAUAAUUGAAAAAGUGUUGUGUUGCGUGUUAUGCUUUGAUGCAGUCUUGUUUUGUAAUCCAUUGCUUUCAAAUUUCUAUCAUCAUCUUCUAAUUAUCUUAAAUUUGCACUGUGCUACUAGAAUAGAAUGAUGGUAUUAUUACUAUUAUUACUGGCAGCAGAAUUGAAACCUGGAGUAUAAGUGGUUUGCAGACCAUUCAUAGAUUCAUGUAACCGUAGAGAUUCAUGGUUGAGUAGUUGAGCACCUGACUUCUAUGGGAAAAGCAGCGCUCUUCAAGUUACUGCCUAAUUAACAAACACACUUCAUGGAUUGAGGAUUUAAAGGGGAAGAAUGGUCAUGCUUAGUACAAUUGAAUGCAUAUUUGCUACUAAUUACAUAUACCUCACAUUUUCUCUUAGAGACCAACUGCUUUAAAAAUAUUUUAUUAAAUGUUUUUGUUACCCUGACAGAGAUACAUUCCUUUAAGGGUGUUUUCAGCAAAACAUUCAAGUUUUCAGGAAGUAUUAUCUUUCUUUCCUUUUACCCCUUUCCCAUUUCCAUGAAAUUAAAAGGAAAUGCAUAGCCAAGUGUUUUUUCCCAGAAGAAAAUAAUAAGAAAUAUGCUGAUUUUACAGAACAGUAUGAACAGUUAUAAGGGUCUAUGUAAAAGGCAGCGUGUGUUCAUUCUCCAUGCAUACUAUUAGUAAAAAUGAAUGGACUUUCUCCUCAUCUGUUUUUAUUUAGAGCAGGACCUUCUUGCAUUGAAUUUCCUGUGUCAGCUGUGUUCUAAUUCUGUAAAGCCUUUGGUUAAGGAACAGCUCUGACUCUAUAUCCCUAUCUUUUCCUUUCCCAUGUCUUAAUUUUGAGUUCUUAUCACUCUGAUAAUAAGCAGACAUUUCUGAAAAUCAGAAAUCCUGCAGUUCCACUUUAGUUUUUCUUUCUCUUCCACUACCUUUCCUCUCUUAGAACAGUAAAUAUGUCAGAUGGGAACCUAAAGUCAACCUCUGUGCUGUCUUGCUCUGACUUAAAUGCUCUCAUCCAAGUAGGUGGCAUUUCUCAUGAGGGGCCAGACAGAGUUAUGGAACACCACAAGCAGGGUAGCCUUCGGAUUUGACUUGAGAAAUUAGGAAGAAUCUGGUGGUCCUGACUAAGAGUGCCAGUGAUAAAAAUCCAGGUGAGCACAGACCAUUGUCAUAAGAGGGGCCUGCACACAGUUCUAGAUAGGUAUGUUUACAGGAAUUCGUGGUCUGAAUAGCAGGGCUAGAUCAGAUUUGAGAUCUGAUUUACCUAAUACUAGAAAGAAUGUAGUCAGUCAGGAGACUCAGGCCGGACUUUUUAUUUGAUAAAGAAAUGAAACUGUUGAUGUUGGUUUCUUCAGUAGGAUUUCUCUACUUCUUUUAGACUUCUCAAAAGGUUUUUGUUUCUUUAGUUGUUGCUUUUGUUGUUGUUCCCCUACCCUCAGAAAAAAAAAUAGAGGUGAUGCUAACUUGUAUGUUUUGGAUUUUGUAACUUUGUUCUUGACAUGUUAUAACUCUGUAAAACGGAGCUAUAAAAUAGAUUAGACAGUUUACAUAUUUUUUAAAAUCUGAAUGAGUUCAUAUAGUUCAGCUAAAGAUGAAACACUGAUAAAAUUCAGUCAGUAUCACUAUUGAUUUGACAACAUUUCUCCUGCUCCUCUUUUGUCUGCUGACUCCUGCCAGCAAAAUAAAGUAGAUUUACUAGUACACUAUAAUCUUUAGAGUUCUUACAAGGCACAAACAGACUGAAUGAGAAGAAAUAAGUCAAAUUUGAUCAUCGAUACUUUGUAUUUAUGCAGAACUAAACAAUUCUAGUGACAAAGGACAUUUAGUCAGUGGGGCGAUAUUGGUAGAAAUGAAGCCUAGUGACAUGAGGCUGAGGGCUCUGCCUGAAAAUGUGGAACUUUGGGUUUUGGUCUUUGCGUGAUGUGGUUAACACUUUUUGUCUACCUGAUUUAUUUUGUCAUCUGACACGUGAAGAGUGAGGAAAAUCCUGGAAGCUUAGAUUAGAUUGUAAAUAUGAAAUAUUGCAAACUGAUAGCUUAAGGCUGGCACCAAAGGGUUUAAGAAUUGAAUGUUCAUAUCACCCUCUACUAAAUAUGUAGGACACUUACCGUGAGACUGGGGAUUAGGGAUUCACAACAUUAUAAAGGGUAAAAAAAAAAUCCUUUCUAUACAGCCAACUAUUGAUCUCUACAAAUUGUCCGUAUAGCCUCUCUGUUAAAUACGCCUAUAAAUAGGAUCAACUUUGAAAUAGAAAUAUUUUAGGUUAAGCUUCAGGCCAUCCCUGUGAACUUUAUUUACACACACACACUCAAAUAUAUGUAUAAAAACCUGCAAAAAAUAUAUAGCCACAUUUGUGUAAAUAUGUAUACACACAUAUAUACGUAUGUAUUUAUAUACACAUUUCUAAGACAGUGUGAUAGGUGAACACUUACGUUUCCUAAACUUUAGCUUCAUUAUGUUAUCCUUUGUUCCCUAGAUUCACUAAAUAUUUCACAGCAGGCUCAAGGUCU